rnacentral:rRNA from 1 species
UGGGGAAUAUUGGACAAUGGGCGAAAGCCUGAUCCAGCCAUGCCGCGUGAGUGAUGAAGGCCUUAGGGUUGUAAAGCUCUUUCAGUAGGGAAGAUAAUGACGGUACCUACAGAAGAAGCCCCGGCUAACUUCGUGCCAGCAGCCGCGGUAAUACGAAGGGGGCUAGCGUUGUUCGGAUUUACUGGGCGUAAAGCGCACGUAGGCGGAUCGUUAAGUCGGGGGUGAAAUCCUGGAGCUCAACUCCAGAACUGCCUUCGAUACUGGCGAUCUUGAGUCCGGAAGAGGUGAGUGGAACUCCUAGUGUAGAGGUGAAAUUCGUAGAUAUUGGGAAGAACACCGGUGGCGAAGGCGGCUCACUGGCUCAUUACUGACGCUCAGGCGCGACAGCGUGGGGAUCAAAC